AGAAUCCCUCGAAGUGAAGCUUUCAUCAUUUCGUUCAAUCUCUGCGAAGCAUUGCCAGAAAAGUUCAUGUGUGAAGUCUCCGUCAAAUAGGCAUUUGGGGAAGCUUUCCUUGAACACAAGGACUAUUCUAGAGAGUCAAAAGUGACAAACUUUUUGGUUUAGUUGUGGCUGGAGGCUUCUUUGCUCUGUUCUUUGGUUUUGUGACAACUACAUAAUAGUCAGCACCAUCACUGGCGAUAUUGGCUAUUUCCACUAUUAGUUUUUGGGCUAGUCUGGCUUUUAGCAUUACUACAGGUAGUACGUUGUCACAAAUACAUUGGAUGUACUAAAUUGUGCCACCUACUGACAAGUUGAAUCUACACUGCCGUGUUUGGAAAGCCAUUACUGUAAUCCCACUCGUACCUAUUGUCAUUUACUGGCAUUUUUUAGGUAUGUAUUUCUUUGAUGCACAACAGUGAUAAUUACAUGCUUCUUUAUGUAUGACGUGAUGUAUUAUGUAGCUAAUUAAUCAUUGAGAGUGAACCUUAGUAUCCCGUUUGAGAUUCUAUACAACGAUUAAUAUGGAAAGUUUGCAUUAAUCGGUAUAUUGAAUCUUGAAU